rnacentral:lncRNA from 1 species
GAAACAUCUAGACCACAGGCAGGGCAUCUGAAGAGGGACAGAGAGACAAUUAGGGGCAGUGUGGCUCCCAAGAUCAAAAACACCACCAGAGUUAAGAGUGUCAGGCUACCGGACAUAUAAUCUGUCUGCAGGAAAAGUGUGUGUGGAUGCCACAGGCUGCAGAGGCAGGAUUAAGGAGUCGGCCUCUCUGAAGGUUCCUUGGAGCAGUUGAUUAAGCACGCACAGAUAGUCGUGUACGCACACGUUCGGUGUGGAGGCUGACGCUGCUCCCAUGUGCCCCGGCGACCGAACCCUCGCACCCAUCGCCUCAACGGCGGCCGCAGAGGCCCGUGGCAGCGUCAGGCUCCAGCAGGAAGCGUGCAGACGUUGUCACUCAGGUUCAAUAGCAUUGACCUCUGACCCUGCAAAAGUACUUCCAGGUGGGGCCUCUCUGGUCUCAGCCCAGCGCGGAGCAGGGACCUCCUGCAGCUACACACAAC